AUACGGAGGGUGCAAGCGUUAUCCGGAAUCAUUGGGUUUAAAGGGUCCGUAGGCGGACUAUUAAGUCAGAGGUGAAAUCCCACAGCUCAACUGUGGAACUGCCUUUGAUACUGGUAGUCUUGAGUUAUAUGGAAGUAGAUAGAAUGUGUAGUGUAGCGGUGAAAUGCAUAGAUAUUACACAGAAUACCGAUUGCGAAGGCAGUCCACUACGUAUAUACUGACGCUAAGGGACGAAAGCGUGGGGAGCGAACAGGAUUAGAAACCCCAGUAGUCC
rnacentral:rRNA from 1 species